GUUCCUGUAGUUAAAUUUUCAUAACGGCGGUUUUUCAGGCCGUAGAUCUUGGAGAGAGUCCGAGCAGGAAUU
rnacentral:tRNA from 1 species